AACGUAGGAGACAAACGUUAUCCGGAGUUACUGGGCGUAAAGGGCGUGUAGGCGGUUAGUUAAGUCUGGCGUGAAGGCUCUCGGCUAAACCGGGAGAGGUCGUUGGAUACUGGCUGACUAGAGGACGGUAGAGGCGUGUGGAAUUCCGGGUGUAGUGGUGAAAUGCGUAGAGAUCCGGAGGAACACCAGUGGCGAAGGCGACACGCUGGGCCGUACCUGACGCUAAAGCGCGACAGCAUGGGGGAGCAAACGGG
rnacentral:rRNA from 1 species